UUUUGCCUACUCCGCCCAUACC
rnacentral:miRNA from 2 species